AACGAACGCUGGCGGCAUGCCUAACACAUGCAAGUCGAACGAGACCUUCGUGUCUAUUUGCGCACCUCUACGUAACACGUGGGAACCUACCCUUAGGUUCCCUAUCACUCCCCUAAGGGUAUCCUCAUACCAGUUAAUCUCUUCCGGCCAAAGAUUUCUCGCGUUGGGGUGGGCCCGCGUUGGAUUCGCUGGUUGGUAGGGUACAAGCAUACCAAGGAGACGAUGCAUAGCUGGUCUGAGAGGAGGAUCAGCCACAAUGGCAAUGAGACACGGACUAGAAUGCUACGGGAAGGAGGAGUGGGGAAUAUUGGACAAGGGGCGAAAGCCUGAUCAAGCAACGCGGGGUGAGAGAUGAAGGGGGUAGGGUUGUAAAGUUCUCUGACACGGGACGAGAAUGACAGUAACGGGAGAAGAAGCACCGGCUAACUCCGUG
rnacentral:rRNA from 1 species